UCCGGGGUAGUUGGGACAAUGUUUAUGCAGCUUUAAUACUUGAAGCGGUUAGAAUGGGGGUCCAACCGGAACCCAGACACCAAGAAGCGUCACCUUUACACCUUGCCCAAGAGCCUGAACUUAAGCAGGAUCUCAUUUGCUUUUCAAACACAUCACUACGGGCGGAGACUAUAUCUCUGUCUCACCACUGAAAAGCCUCGGAGUAGGAAGCUGCCCAAUCAUGCAAACAGGAGAGCAGAGCAUGACUCAUGCCUGGAAUCCCAGCACUGGGGAAGGUGAGACAGGAGAAUUGCUGCAAGUUCAAGCCCAGCUUGGGCUACAUGAGACACACUCGCCCCCGCCCCCAUCUCAAAAAGCCUAAGGAGAAAGAAGAAAUGAACCCACUAGUGCAUAACCUACAGGCUUGCUGAGGGAGAAGUAGCAACAACCCAUGGUCAUGGAAGGAGGUGGGACCUGGAGUUGCCUCGUGUCCUUGGGGACCUUCUUUGGGCCUGAAUACAAGGUGACCUGAUUAGAGGGAUGGGUAGGACUUGUCAUGAGGAAGGAAGCCAGCACUGUGCCCAGUGAGCACAGAAGAGUUCUGAGCAUAGUACAAUGCAUAAUGAAUAAAUGUUGAUUAAAUCAAGUCCAGGUGGUGACCGAGCCUGCUCCCUGGAAGGAAUCUUUGCCCUCACUUUGGUGUGAACCUGAAGUUGUGAGGACUGAGCCUGCUCCCUGGAAGGAAUCUUUGCCCUCACUUUGGUGUGAACCUGGAGUUGUGAGGACUGAGCCUGCUCCCUGGAAGGAAUCUUUGCCCUCACUUCAGUGUGAACCUGGAGUUGUGAGGACUGAGCCUGCUCCCUGGAAGGAAUCUUUACCCUCACUUUGGUGUGAACCUGGAGUUGUGAGGAUCUCCCUGUUUGUGUUUCAACAAUUGAAAGUGAUGCUGGGUCAGGAAGUAAUCAUUCCAUGUUGUGUCCAAAAUGUCUCUAGCCUCCUAAUUAUCAUCAUAGUCCCAAGGAAGAAGCUACUCAUUUUGUAGCUGGAGAGUUUUUCACCUGCCCAAGGUUUAAGCGGCAACUGAGUGGCCCAGCUGGCAUUAGACCUCAGGAGAGACAGGCCCCAGCUGGGAACUACCUUCUCUUUCUCUCUCGGUUUGCGUACAGCAUGACUUCUGUCUGUGGCUUAAAGCGUCCAGAGACACUGCUACUUUGUACCCAUGUUAAUGCAAUGUCUUGGUCUUGCUGGGUUUCCAUAUUUUCUAGAGGAAAUCAUGUUUUUAUAGUUCUUUUUUCUAUCUGUCUAUCUAUCUGUCAUGUAUGUUUAUGUACCUGUGCCAUGAAGAAUGACAAGAAGGCAGAGUACAACCUGCAUGCAUCCCUUAGUUAUCUCCUUCCACCCUGUAUGUUCCUGGGCUCGAACUCAAGAUGUCAGGCUUGGUGGUAAGCGCCUUUGCCUGCUGAGCCAUCUCUCCAGCCCGUGUUUCUGUAAGUUAAAACACCCCAAGGUAUUUAGAGAACAGAAGGUGACAUCCCCAGGGUCUGCUGCCCUUAACGAUGGCAGCUGCUGCGUUCUGAGCAUUCACUGUGUGGCCAGGCACUGUUGGAAGCACAAGGCCCAGACCAAUUCACCAAAGCCCACAACAGCACUAUCACAGAGUUGCUAAUAUUAUCUUCAUUUUGCUCACAGGAAACCCUAGAUACUUAUAAUUUCUCCUUUUGAAUCGUGUUUGUUCAGGUGUUUGUUCUCUCUCCACCCUUUCCUGACCUUUCUCACAUAGAAAAGAAGAGCCACCACAGUUUAAAUUGGAGACCAGAGUGGGUGGAAUUCUAUAGAAAGGAUAUUUAAAGGAUUUAGGACUUAAUGAGUUUUCCAAAUUUGAACUAUAGUUAAGCCAUUCUGAUAAUGAUAAUAUAACUCACAGAUUUAAUAUCUUCUGUGUAUUGUAAGUUAAUCUAAGUGGUACGUUUUUCCUUUACCACUCUGCCACUGUUCGUGGCUUUAGGCAAGCAAGUUUAUGAAGAGGCUCCAGAUGCAAGCAAGAAGAAGGGUUUGAACUCCUGUGUGCCACUCACUGGCUAGGUGACUUGGAACAGGUCAUUCUCCCCUCUGGGUCCCUCAUCCCUGUCACUGGUCAAACCAGGUUUGGUAGCCGGGAGUAUUGUGUCUGACCUUCUGAGGUAGAGGAGAGAGGGACGGGAGGAAGAUGGGGGGGAAGAGAAAAUCCAUCUCCCAGCAGGCCGUGUCCGAAAGAUGUCUGAUUAAGGUUUCCAAGAGAGUGGAGAAGCUGUGAGGAGAAUUUAGUGGUUGGUCUGGGGAGGCUGGAGCCCCAGUUUUAUCCCGUAGCAGCUGUGUGUCUUCAGGCAAGUCUACCCACUUCUCUGAGCCAAGCCUCAUUCUGCCAAUCAGAAACUGAGGGCUAAUAAUCCCUGUUUCAGGGGUUAGGAGGAUUAAAUGGGAUUGUGGAUAUAAAAUGUAAGGAGAGCAAUUAAUCCUCUCUUCUUGCCUGAUGCCGGACUCGAGUGUGAGUCAGCAGAUGAGUGGCCUGGGAGGAAGCACGGUCCAUCAUCAUGAUGCAAUUAGAACUAACACUAUUGGUGUGGAUAAUGGUAGAGGCUUAUGAAAGUCAUGCUUGCUCAAAGUCCCUGGGGCCUUUGGGCAGCACAAGAAAGCUUUGCUGAAGCUGCCACACAGGUCUUCCCCAGACCAAGUCACAUCUCAGCGGCAACAACACAGGCACCCCAAAGGCAAUGGUCCUCAUCCCUUCCUCUGAGUUCAGGAGACUAACACAAAAUCACCUCCACAGAGACUGAGCACUUGGCUUCCACAUCCAGAAGGGUGCAGAAUGUGGCUGCAAAAUACCAUCCUUGCCUCCACUCUCCUUGCUUUCAGAGCAAUCCUAUGACUUGCCUUUCACUUUAUAAGUUUGUUUUUGGUCUUAAGAUUCUAAUUUAUUGAAAGAUAAACAUUAAUUAAAUAAUAGCCCCAUUGGUCCUGGGAUAAGGUCAACAAAUCUGAUUGUCUUGAGACAAGGGAAGAGUUGUGCUGAUGCCUGGAAUGUGGUAAUAUUGAUUUACAGCAUUAGAAAAGGGCCUGAAAUGUGGUAAUAUUGAUUUACAGCAUUAGAAAAGGGCAGGUCUGGUUGGAAUCCUGUCCUACCUCUACCCGGAUGGAUGGCCCUGGGCAAGUUAUGUCCUGUCUCAGAACUUUGGAUCCCUUAUCUGUAAAAUGCGGUGAUUAUUCCUACCUCCCAGGUUUACAGGGAGGACUUUGAUAGAGAUAAUAGAGAACGACAUGGUUGUUAUUGUUGUUGUCGUUGUUAUUAAUGAUCAUUACAGAAGAUCAUGGAGGGUGUGCAUUUGAUUGGAUGUAUGGAAUUGUUAGCAUCAUUAGUAAACAGUGGUGGAGGAGUUUGGUCAAAACUCUAGUUAGUUGUCCUUAGAUCCAGUUAUCUCAAAGCUUGCCACUUUCAAAGGAGUAAUUGCAAAAGAGGAGAAGGAUUCUUUGAAAGUGGAAUUCUGGUUAAAAGUCACGCUGUUGCCCUCCGUUUAACCAGCCCAUCUUCAGUGAAUAGCUGGGUUCAUUACCACUUCCCCAGCAGACAGAAUCUCAACGGACCCUCCAGACUGCAGGCCAGACUAAGACAAGUGACGGUUGAAAGCAAGGCGGGAAGAUGUUUCCAAAUUUUGUCCUUUUCAUAACUAAUGAAAGGCACUGGCUGAUGGGCUGGCUGUUCUCUUUCUCUCUUAUCCCCCUGGCUUGUCCAGCCCCUCUUCUGUUUUGUUUGAGGCACUGUGGCCAAUCCCAGGCUGGCCUCAAAUUCACCACCCUCCUCCUCCCUGCUUCCCUCAGGUGGCUGCCUGCUGUGUUGGCAAAGCCUGGGUGAAUGUCACUACCCAGAUGGCCCCUGCCCUUGAGAAUCUGCCACUGUUGGGGGGUGUAGCUUAGUAAUGGAGCAUUCACUUAUCAUGCAUGAGGUUCCACGUUCAAUAUUCAGUACCAUUAAAAAAAAAAAAGUUGUAUAUGAACCUCCCCUCCAUCGGGAAUCCAGAUAUGUCAAGUGCCUGGAUUCCAUAAAAGAUGUCAAAAGGCUCCCAUGCCAACUCCAUCUGAGGAAUUCUUCUCUCCCAGUCAGAACUGUCCUGAAAACAGCAUAUUAACCAUCUCAGUAAGUUGCCAAAUGUUAGAAAUUUGGAAUGCUUUUCAUAGAAAUGUAAAAUUCUGGCUUCUCUGUAUCCUUCUGAGGUGGAUGGCCCUAGUCUGGACUACCAGAACCUACAGAUGAGAUCUGCCUGUCCCAGGAGCAUGCAAGAUCACCCUGGGAUACAAAGAAUGCUGUUCUAGAAGGUUCAGGGUGUAUGGGAACCCAAAGGAGCACUUGCCUAUUCAACCUCGAGAGGCAGGAAGGCUGCUUUGAAGAGGUGGCCUUCUCAGGCUGAGCUUUGAAAGACUGACGGUUGAGAAGUGUAACCAGUGUGCACACUGCCGUGUGUCCUCACCCUCCUGUGUGUCCUUACACCUCCGCUCCACAAACAAAGCUGCAGGUGCAGACAUUGAAGGUGAGCUCCUGAUGCCUUUGUUGGCGUCUGUGUCCUUGGCUUUUCUUUACUUCAAAGCCCAGAUGCUUGUCAAUCUCAAUCUCUCUCUCUCUCUCUCUCUCUCUCUCUCUCUCUCUCUCUCUCUCUCUCUCUCUCUCUCUCGUUUUGUUUUCUUCUUUUUUUUUUUUUUUCAAGACAGGGUUUCUUUGUGUAGCCCUGGCUGUCUGGAACUUUCUCUGUAGACCAGGCUGGCCUCAAACUCAGGGAUCCACCUGCCUCUGCCUCCCCAGUGAGGGGAUUAAAGUCAUUUGCCAUCACUGCCCAGCUGAUACCAAUUUCAUUGAAGUAAACUUACUCCAGUCUUUCUUUAGUUUGUGUUAAGGAUAUAAGAAAUUCAUUUAACUUUUCCCUCAUUGUUGAACUUUAUUUAUUUAUUUUUGGUCCAUUUUUUGCCAAGGUCAAUGUUUUUUGGAAAACCUUUUGUAUGUUACCUUUGCAUUUGUAUGAACAUAGGUAUUUCAAUAUAUAUAUAUUAAGAUUCCUAUUCUGAAGCUCAGGUUGCUGGGAGCCCAUUAUGUGUACUUUUGACCAGAAUAGGCCUUGUUCGGUCAUUUUUAAAAGCUCUAUUCCUUUGCACAUUCCCAGCAUAGCCUCGGGCCCUCCCCAGGCUCUGCUAGGCUGGAGGUCAUCCCUCCACACACUAGGCUGGUGCUCUGAGCCUGGAGGUCAUCCCUCCACACACUAGGCUGGUGCUCUGAGCCUGGAGGUCAUCCCUCCACACACCAGGCCAGUGCUCUGCCAUUGAGCUCUGCCAUUGAGCUCAGCCCUUCCUCCGGCCUUAUUGCUCUGUUAUCUUGUCUGCUAAGGGUGAUUUAUGAGCCAGGGGUUAGUAGUAGGGUCCCAUACUAUACCCCUCUGGUGGGAGGCAUUACGGAGCAUAUUGGAAACAAUCCAGACUAGUGAGGAGGCUUCUGUGGUUGCUGAAGAAGCCAGAAACACUGGGACAGAAGAGCAAGGAGAGAAGAGGUAGGUUAGGAAAAAAUGGAGAAGAACGAGACCUUGUGUCAACAAACAGUCAAGCAUCGGGAACACACACACACACACACACACACACACACACACACACCGCAAACAUAAAGAAACCAGUUCCUUCUGAGGACAGAGGGAUCUCUACUGCAGGCCAGGCCAUGGAGAUGCAAUGUUCUUUGUCUUCAUGGCCUUGUGUGUCUGUUUCUCAUGUCCCUGGGUGCCAGCAACCCUAAACCUCUUCUGGAAUUCUGUCUCAAUACCCUUAGUGCCUGGAGCCCUGGGCCCAGGCAGCAGGCUACUCCAAAUUGCUGGCUCUCUCUUGCUCAGGACCUGGGUAACUAGACUGUCAGGACAGGUACGUUGUCUCAUUUCCACACAGGGCAAAUUGUAGACAGAGCUUUGCAGUCAAGUUCAACUUUUCUUAAAAGAUGUAUUUAUUUUAUGUGUAUGCGUGUCUGCAUGUAUGUCUGUACACCACAUACAUGACUAGUGCUCACGGAAGCCAGAAAAGGGUGUCAGGUCCCCGAAACUGGAGUAACAGGUAGUUGUGAGCCGCCAUAUGGAUGCUGAGAACUUUCCUCACUGUUUGCCCUGAAUCUUUUCCUCUGUCCUUUGCUUUUUUUUUUUUUUUUGUCUCCAUCUUUCCCCGCAAACCCUGGAAAUGAACAACUGACCCACCAUUAUCUCCUUCAGUGUCUUCAGGGAUCCUGGGAAGUCUUGGGGCUGCCUUACUCUAAGGGUGUCCCUUGACCCUGUGGCAGCUGAGGGGUGGGACCACAGAUUGCCAUCAGCACAAGUGGCCUGUCCAGCUGCCUGCUGUUUGGUUCAGUGGAGGCUGGUAAACCUUCCUUGUCAACAGGUCCAUCCAUCUUUGAAACCCUGCACAGUGUAGAAUGCAACCAGCUCGGGCACAGCUACCAAGAUGUUGUCCACUUCUCGCUGUGUAGCCCUGGCUGUCCUGGAACUCACUCUGUAGACCAGGUUGGCCUUGAACUCACAGAGAUCCACCUGCCUCUGUCUCCCGAGUCCUGGGAUUAAGGGCGUGCGCCAUCACACUCAGCUCCCUCACUGGUUCUUGAGCAUCUCCAGCAUCUCCCUCCAUGCUUACAGGUCUCAAACAGAAAUACUUCUUUCUUCCUCCCUCCCUCCCUCCCUUCCUUUUCUUUUCUUUUCAAGAUUUAGCGUGCAAAUGUGAACGGUAAAAUAAAAAUUAAUUAUCCAUUGACAGUGCA